rnacentral:lncRNA from 1 species
CUGAUGAGAACCCCAGUCUAACAUUUUUGGAUUGAUACUUACUCCUGAGAAGGAGGUACUGAACCCUCCAGGUGGACUGGACUCAAAAUAUUCUGCAGAGGAAUCAACAGAAGGAGAGAGUGCAAAAGGCAGCUUCACCUCAGACAUGAUUGCAGAUAGACUGGGACAUUCAGACCACAGAAAUGCAAGAAUUAAAUUGGACAGCUUCUAAUAUCAGGUGUGGUGAUUUUCAGAAUUGUAUUAUCUAUUAAAAGUAGCAUCUAAUACUGUGGAUACAACACCAAAAUCUAAAGCUA